GAUGAAGAACGCAGCGAAAUGCGAUAAGUAGUGUGAAUUGCAGAAUUCAGUGAAUCAUCGAAUCUUUGAACGCACAUUGCGCCCCUUGGUAUUCCAUGGGGCAUGCCUGUUCGAGCGUCAUUUGUACCUUCAAGCUUUGCUUGGUGUCGGGUGUUUGUCUCGCCUUUGCGUGUAGACUCGCCUUAAAAUAAUUGGCAGCCGGCGUAUUGAUUUCGGAGCGCAGUACAUCUCGCGCUUUGCACUCAUAACGACAGCGUCCAAAAGUACAUUUUACACUCUUGACCUCGGAUCAGGUAGGGAUACCCGCUGAACUUAAGCAUAUCAAUAAGCGGAGGA
rnacentral:misc_RNA from 1 species